GACGAACCGUGCGAACGUUAUUCGGAAUCACUGGGCUUAAAGGGAGCGUAGGCGGGCUAUCAAGUCUGGGGUGAAAUCCCACGGCUCAACCGUGGAACUGCCUCAGAUACUGACGGCCUCGAGGGAGAUAGGGGCAUGCGGAACUGUAGGCGGAGCGGUGAAAUGCGUUGAUAUCUACAGGAACUCCGGUGGCGAAAGCGGCGUGCUGGAUCUCUUCUGACGCUGAGGCUCGAAAGCUAGGGGAGCAAACGGG
rnacentral:rRNA from 1 species